ensembl:misc_RNA Y_RNA Y RNA
GGCUGGGCCAAGUGCAGUGGUGUUUACAACUGGUUGAUUGAUUAUAACCACUUACAGAUUUCUUUGUUCCUUCUCCAUUCCCAUUGCUUCACUUGAUUAGCCUACA